GAAUAGUGGCGCACGGGUGCGUAACGCGUAACCAACCUACCCGAAUCUGGGGGAUAGCCCGCCGAAAGGCGGAUUAAUACCGCAUAAAACUGCAGCUCGGCAUCGGGUAACAGUUAAAGAUUUAUUGGAUUCGGAUGGGGUUGCGUGCCAUUAGCUAGUUGGAGAGGUAACGGCUCACCAAGGCGACGAUGGCUAGGGGAGCUGAGAGGCUGGUCCCCCACACGGGCACUGAGAUACGGGCCCGACUCCUACGGGAGGCAGCAGUAGGGAAUAUUGGGCAAUGGACGAGAGUCUGACCCAGCCAUGCCGCGUGCAGGAUGAAGGCUUUCUGAGUCGUAAACUGCUUUUAUCAGGGAAGAAAAAAGGGGAUGCGUCCUCUACUGACGGUACCUGAUGAAUAAGCACCGGCUAACUCCGUGCCAGCAGCCGCGGUAAUACGGAGGGUGCAAGCGUUGUCCGGAUUUAUUGGGUUUAAAGGGUGCGUAGGCGGCUGAUUAAGUCUGGGGUGAAAGCCCGUUGCUCAACAACGGAACUGCCCUGGAAA
rnacentral:rRNA from 1 species